AUACGUAGGGUGCGAGCGUUGUCCGGAAUUACUGGGCGUAAAGAGCUCGUAGGUGGUUUGUCGCGUCGUCUGUGAAAUUCCGGGGCUUAACUCCGGGCGUGCAGGCGAUACGGGCAUAACUUGAGUACUGUAGGGGAGACUGGAAUUCCUGGUGUAGCGGUGAAAUGCGCAGAUAUCAGGAGGAACACCGGGGGCGAAGGCGGGUCUCUGGGCAGUAACUGACGCUGAGGAGCGAAAGCAUGGGUAGCGAACAGGAUUAGAUCCCCUGGUAGUCCAUGCCGUAAACGGUGGGCGCUAGGUGUAGGGGUCUUCCACGACUUCUGUGCCGUAGCUAACGCAUUAAGCGCCCCGCCUGGGGAGUACGGCCGCAAGGCUAAAACUCAAAGGAAUUGACGGGG
rnacentral:rRNA from 1 species